rnacentral:rRNA from 1 species
AACGAACGUUAGCGGCGCGCCUAACACAUGCAAGUCGCACGAGAAAGGGCUUCGGCCCCGGUACAGUGGCGCACGGGUGAGUAACACGUGGGUAAUUUUCCUUCGAGUGGGGGAUAACGUUCCGAAAGGGACGCUAAUACCGCAUAAGACCACGACCUCGAAAGAGGAUGUGGUCAAAGCAGGCCUCUAUACAUAAGCUUGCGCUUGAAGAUAAGCCCGCGGCCCAUCAGCUAGUUGGUAGGGUAAUGGCCUACCAAGGCGAAGACGGGUAGCUGGUCUGAGAGGAUGAUCAGCCACACUGGAACUGAGACACGGUCCAGACUCCUACGGGAGGCAGCAGUGGGGAAUCUUGCGCAAUGGGCGAAAGCCUGACGCAGCGACGCCGCGUGAACGAUGAAUCCCUUCGGGGUGUAAAGUUCUUUUAUAUGUGAGCAGUGCUUCUUAUAUUUAACAGUAUGGGGAGAGAGAUAUUAGCAUAUGAAUAAGCAACGGCUAAC